rnacentral:rRNA from 1 species
GAUGAACGCUGGCGGCGUGCUUAACACAUGCAAGUCGAACGAAGCACCUUAUUUGAUUUCCUUCGGGACUGAUCAUUUUGUGACUGAGUGGCGGACGGGUGAGUAACGCGUGGGUAACCUGCCUUGUACAGGGGGAUAACAGUCGGAAACGGCUGCUAAUACCGCAUAAGCGCCCAGCAUCCCAUGAUGCAGUGUGAAAAACUCCGGUGGUAUAAGAUGGACCCGCGUUGGAUUAGAUAGUCGGUGAGGUAAGGGCCCACCAAGGCGACAAUCCAUAGCCGGCCUGGGAGGCUGACCGGACACUUUGGGACUGAGACACGGCCCAAACUCCUACGGGAGGCAGCAGUGGGGAAUAUUGCACAAUGGGCGAAAGCCUGAUGCAGCGACGCCGCGUGAGCGAAGAAGUAUUUCGGUAUGUAAAGCUCUAUCAGCAGGGAAGAUAAUGACGGUACCUGACGAAGAAGCACCGGCUAACUACGUG